AUCUACCUGACGAUUUCAAAAUAGGACGAAACGCGCGUCCUGAAU
rnacentral:hammerhead_ribozyme from 1 species